CUUUUCAUAUAAAUAUUUGAUUUUCAUUGCACCAUUUUAACUUACAUUUAGCCUGGACAUAACAGUUUGUUUUGUGUAGACAUAGUAGACAGAGCCCAAACCUCUUGGAGAUUAGGACUAGUCUCUCGUCUGAUCAGAGAAGAUAUAUAAAAGAUGGAUUAUUAUCUCGAAAAGGUCUAUAUUCUUGAUACGAAUGGAACUUGGAGUUUGUAGGGAGCUACUGAGCAAUCAUAUUGGGUGUUAUUCUUGAUCCAUUCAAAAGACUGCAAUAUGAGUCCGGAAGACCAACAAAGAAAGGGAAGGUUCUUACUGGUCAGAAACCACCAACUUAUAUGGUUGAAAUAUACCUAGUUUGAUUUCAUAUCAUGGUUUCAAUGGACAUCAACUCUAGAAGUAGGCAAAGGACCUUGACUACCAUGAAAUAAAGGGGGCAUUUGUUUUCAGCCAAAUGAAAACUAUUUCUCAGCAUCCGGAAGUUUGGACUUUUGCACUACCAAUAUAAUCCAGUUUGGGAUAGACCAGAUAUAACAUGACAGAUGUUACUUGCAGAAAUGAGGAAUUCCAUAGUCCCUCACUCAACCUUCCUGAUGGUUGUCAGCAAAUACGUGAAUGGUUUAAAAUGACCAGCCAUCCUAAGCCAUUAUAAUAGCUGGACGCUUCUUGAAUUUUAUCAUAAUGAUGGGACUAGGCUGAUGGUGGUUUGGUUUUCAUCAUAAAUGACUUUCAAUUUUGAUUUUUUUUUUCUUUUUGAAAGCUAUGGACAUGCAAUCCGAUUGUAGAAUUAGUUUGCAUCAUCAAACUUCUGGAUUUUUUUUGGUGGUUCCAAGUUCAUUAUCUACUUUUGACUGUGCUUGCACUAAGAAUAUGAACAUUUAAAUACCCCUACUCUGACCAAA